rnacentral:rRNA from 1 species
GGGAUANCACUGACGUUCAUGCCCGAAAGCGUGGGUAGCAAACAGGAUUAGAUACCCUGGUAGUCCACGCCCUAAACGAUGUCGAUUAGCUGUUGGGCAGCAUGACUGCUUAGUAGCGAAGCUAACGCGUGAAAUCGACCGCCUGGGGAGUACGGUCGCAAGGUUAAAACUCAAAGGAAUUGACGGGGACCCGCACAAGCGGUGGAUGAUGUGGAUUAAUUCGAUGCAACGCGAAGAACCUUACCUGGUCUUGACAUGUACGGAAUCCUCCAGAGACGGAGGAGUGCCUUCGGGAGCCGUAACACAGGUGCUGCAUGGCUGUCGUCAGCUCGUGUCGUGAGAUGUUGGGUUAAGUCCCGCAACGAGCGCAACCCUUGUCAUUAGUUGCCAUCAUUAAGUUGGGCACUCUAAUGAGACUGCCGGUGACAAGCCGGAGGAAGGUGGGGAUGACGUCAAGUCCUCAUGGCCCUUAUGACCAGGGCUUCACACGUCAUACAAUGGUCGGUACAGAGGGUAGCCAAGCCGCGAGGCGGAGCCAAUCUCACAAAACCGAUCGUAGUCCGGAUUGCACUCUGCAACU